AAGUCGUAACAAGGUUUCCGUAGGUGAACCUGCGGAAGGAUCAUUACCAAAUUUUCCCCUUGUACCAAAUUUUAUCCUACACCAUGUGUGAACUGUCUAGAUAUCCUCACUUGGCCUGUUGUUGUGAUGGGCCAAGUGUGUUUAAACCCCUGUCUAACUUUUGAGCAUUUUUCUGCGCCUUUUUUUCCAUGUAGCACGCAAGUGUUAUGGUGGGGGAAUAGCGGCGAUAAAGAAAUUACAUAAAACAACUUUUAACGGUGGAUCUCUUGGCUCGC
rnacentral:misc_RNA from 1 species